GUAUGCUAAGCCGCUUGUUGAUAGAAUAGAUGCUGAAAACAGGUUUGGUCGUAGACUUUAUCGGCCUUCAACAAGUUCAACGGAAUUCAGGGAACAUGUGAAGGAUCUUUCGUGUAUAUCAACGAACUUUUGCAGAAUUGUGAUUGUGGACAACAAUCCGUUCAGUUUCUUAUUGCAACCAGUCAACGGAAUCCCA